GGUUAAGUUAGAAAGGGCGCACGGUGAAUGCCUUGGCACUAGGAGCCGAUGAAGGACGGGACUAACACCGAUAUGCUUCGGGGAGCUGUAAGUGAGCUUUGAUCCGGAGAUUUCCGAAUGGGGAAACCCACUGUUCGUAAUGGAACAGUAUCUUUAUCUGAAUACAUAGGAUAUUGAAGGCAGACCCGGGGAACUGAAACAUCUAAGUACCCGGAGGAAGAGAAAGCAAAUGCGAUUUCCUGAGUAGCGGCGAGCGAAACGGAAUUAGCCCAAACCAAGAGGCUUGCCUCUUGGGGUUGUAGGACACUCUAUACGGAGUUACAAAGGAACGAAGUAAAUGAAGCGACCUGGAAAGGUCCGUCGAAGAAGGUAACAACCCUGUAGUUGAAACUUCGUUCCCUCUUGAGUGGAUCCUGAGUACGGCGGAACACGUGAAAUUCCGUCGGAAGCUGGGAGGACCAUCUCCCAAGGCUAAAUACUACCUAGUGACCGAUAGUGAACCAGUACCGUGAGGGAAAGGUGAAAAGCACCCGGAAGGGGAGUGAAAGAGAUCCUGAAACCGUGUGCCUACAAGUAGUCAGAGCCCGUUAACGGGUGAUGGCGUGCCUUUUGUAGAAUGAACCGGCGAGUUACGAUCCCAUGCAAGGUUAAGCUGAUAAGGCGGAGCCGUAGCGAAAGCGAGUCUGAAUAGGGCGUUUAGUAUGUGGUUGUAGACCCGAAACCAGGUGAUCUACCCAUGUCCAGGGUGAAGUUCAGGUAACACUGAAUGGAGGCCCGAACCCACGCACGUUGAAAAGUGCGGGGAUGAGGUGUGGGUAGCGGAGAAAUUCCAAUCGAACCUGGAGAUAGCUGGUUCUCUCCGAAAUAGCUUUAGGGCUAGCCUCAUGUUGUGAGAGUCUUGGAGGUAGAGCACUGAUUGGACUAGGGGCCCCCAACGGGUUACCGAAUUCAGUCAAACUCCGAAUGCCAAAGACUUAUCCAUGGGAGUCAGACUGCGAGUGAUAAGAUCCGUAGUCAAAGGGAAACAGCCCAGACCACCAGCUAAGGUCCCCAAGUAUACGUUAAGUGGAAAAGGAUGUGGAGUUGCUUAGACAACCAGGAUGUUGGCUUAGAAGCAGCCACCAUUUAAAGAGUGCGUAAUAGCUCACUGGUCGAGUGACUCUGCGCCGAAAAUGUACCGGGGCUAAACGUAUCACCGAAGCUGUGGAUUGACAUCUUUGAUGUCAGUGGUAGGAGAGCGUUCUAAGUGCAGCGAAGUCAGACCGUAAGGACUGGUGGAGCGCUUAGAAGUGAGAAUGCCGGUAUGAGUAGCGAAAGACAAGUGAGAAUCUUGUCCACCGAAUGCCUAAGGUUUCCUGAGGAAGGCUCGUCCGCUCAGGGUUAGUCGGGACCUAAGCCGAGGCUGAAAAGCGUAGGCGAUGGCCAACAGGUUGAUAUUCCUGUACCACCUCCCCGCCGUUUGAGUAAUGGGGGGACGCAGUAGGAUAGGGUAAGCGCGCUGCUGGAUAUGCGCGUUCAAGCAGUUAGGCUGAUGAGUAGGCAAAUCCGCUCAUCAUAAAGGCUGAGCUGUGAUGACGAGGGAAUUAUAGUACCGAAGUUCCUGAUUCCACACUGCCAAGAAAAGCCUCUAGCGAGGCGGGAGGUGCCCGUACCGCAAACCGACACAGGUAGGCGAGGAGAGAAUCCUAAGGUGAUCGAGAGAACUCUCGUUAAGGAACUCGGCAAAAUGACCCCGUAACUUCGGGAGAAGGGGUGCUCUGGUAGGGUGUAUAGCCCGAGAGAGCCGCAGUGAAUAGGCCCAGGCGACUGUUUAGCAAAACACAGGUCUCUGCGAAGCCGCAAGGCGAAGUAUAGGGGCUGACGCCUGCCCGGUGCUGGAAGGUUAAGAGGAGGGGUUAUCCUUUGGGAGAAGCUCUGAAUCGAAGCCCCAGUAAACGGCGGCCGUAACUAUAACGGUCCUAAGGUAGCGAAAUUCCUUGUCGGGUAAGUUCCGACCCGCACGAAAGGCGUAACGAUCUGGGCACUGUCUCAACGAGAGACUCGGUGAAAUUAUAGUACCUGUGAAGAUGCAGGUUACCCGCGACAGGACGGAAAGACCCCGUGGAGCUUUACUGUAGCCUGAUAUUGAAUUUUGGUACAGCUUGUACAGGAUAGGUAGGAGCCUGAGAAGCCGGAGCGCUAGCUUCGGUGGAGGCGUCGGUGGGAUACUACCCUGGCUGUAUUGAAAUUUAACCCGCGGCCCUGAUCGGGCCGGGAGACAGUGUCAGGUGGGCAGUUUGACUGGGGCGGUCGCCUCCUAAAAUGUAACGGAGGCGCCCAAAGGUUCCCUCAGAAUGGUUGGAAAUCAUUCGUAGAGUGUAAAGGCACAAGGGAGCUUGACUGCGAGACCUACAAGUCGAGCAGGGACGAAAGUCGGGCUUAGUGAUCCGGUGGUUCCGCAUGGAAGGGCCAUCGCUCAACGGAUAAAAGCUACCCCGGGGAUAACAGGCUUAUCUCCCCCAAGAGUCCACAUCGACGGGGAGGUUUGGCACCUCGAUGUCGGCUCAUCGCAUCCUGGGGCUGUAGUCGGUCCCAAGGGUUGGGCUGUUCGCCCAUUAAAGCGGUACGCGAGCUGGGUUCAGAACGUCGUGAGACAGUUCGGUCCCUAUCCGUCGUGGGCGUAGGAAAUUUGAGAGGAGCUGUCCUUAGUACGAGAGGACCGGGAUGGACACACCGCUGGUGUACCAGUUGUCUUGCCAAAGGCAUCGCUGGGUAGCUAUGUGUGGACGGGAUAAGUGCUGAAAGCAUCUAAGCAUGAAGCCCCCCUCAAGAUGAGAUUUCCCAUAGCGCAAGCUAGUAAGAUCCCUGAAAGAUGAUCAGGUUGAUAGGUCAGAGGUGGAAGCGUGGCGACAUGUGUAGCUGACUGAUACUAAUCGAUCGAGGACUUAACCAA
rnacentral:rRNA from 1 species